AACGAACGCUGGCGGCAUGCCUAACACAUGCAAGUCGAACGAGACCUUCGGGUCUAGUGGCGCACGGGUGCGUAACGCGUGGGAACCUGCCCUUAGGCUCGGAAUUAUUCUUCGUAAGGGGUGCUAAUACCGGAUAAUGUCCUCGGAUCAAAGAUUUAUCGUCUUUGGAUGGGCCCGCGUUGGAUUAGCUAGUGGGUAGGGUAAAAGCCUACCAAGGCGUCGCUCCAUAGCUGGUCUGAGAGGAUGAUCAGCCACACUGGGUCUGUGACACGGCACAGACUCCUACAGGAGGCAGCAGUGGGGAAUAUUGGACAAUGGGCGGAAGCCUGAUCCAGCAAUGCCGCGUGAGUGAUGAAGGCCUGAGGGUUGUGAAGCUCUUUUACCCGGGAUGAUAAUGACAGUACCGGAAGAAUAAGCUCCGGCUAACUCCGUG
rnacentral:rRNA from 1 species